UGAAGAGACUUAGCAGCAGCAGCAGCAUGUAAAGUCUACUCACGGGGGGCACCAAUGGCCUUGGCACAAGCCUCCAUUUGGCCUGCGGGUCUGAAGGAGGGGCCUGCACCUCAGCCCGGAGUCCCGUAUCUGUGGGUUCAGUGGGCAAAGCAGUGGCCCUGUCCCCACAGAGUGCCCCGGGUCCACUCUGCCACCUGCCGCACGGGGCCUUGCAAGAGGCUGGCCUGGGGUGGGGCGGGGGGCGGGGCGUGGGCCUGGCUGAUAGCCAAUCUCCUGCCUCCUCCCUCCUCCCCAGUCUUUUACUGAGAUUUGCUCUUCCCUCAAAACCCGCUCCCCCUCGACCCGAACGUGGCUCAGAGGCUUUCGUCUCUCGGACCAAAAUGUUGGCUGCAGACAGCACAGGCUUCACUCUGCCUCCGGGGAUGGGUGACAUUGCCCUUUCUGCCCUCGGAGGGACCUCUGAGCCGGGCCUUGCCUGGGAGGAGGAGACGCCUGGCUCACAAAGGCCUUCUCCCCUCUCCGAGGAGGUGGUAGAGUGUUUCAGGCGCGGGUGGCCUCCCAUGUCCUUCCUAGUUCAGCUUUAACCCUCUUAUCGAGGCAGGGUAAAAAGUUCCCAGAGCUUCCUUACUGGCCAGGCCGGGAGGGGCCCUCAAGGGCUUCCACUGAGGGGCCCGGGGAGAUGCUGCCCUGUCGCAGCGCUGGGUGGGGAGAGGUUCCCCAGCAACGGGCCCUCUUACAUAAUCUAGCGCAUCGGCGUGACUCCAGGUGCCCGUGGGAGGCAGCGUGGGGGUGAGCGCAGGGGCGAGGACGAGUCUCAGAGUUUCACUCGGUGUUUCUCCCCCUCUUAUUACAUUUCAGCGUCAUCCUGCGUCUGCCAGCUCGGUCACCCACUUGCUCGUUAGAAUAUAUUAACUGACAACGCAGAUUUAAAUAACUCGGGCAGAGCCCCCAGACCCGGGCCUCCCGCACCGGCCCAGAUUUCCCACCAGGAAAACUCCAGAGACCUUGAUUCCACCUCAGAUGAAGUCAAAGCCGAGGCUCCCCUCCGGGCACAGGCUCCCUGCUGGAAAGCUGUGGGCUUGUGGACAGACUCUGGCUUUCAGUCUCCCAGGCUGGUGUCUGGAGCUCAGCCUCCCCUGAGUUAGGCAGAGAGGACCGAGGACGCGGCCACGCUCGUGGGAGACGUGACCCCAGUAUCUUGGCUCCUGGUCCGCGGAGGACAUGAGGUGCUGGCGGGGCUGGUGGGCAGGGACACCACAUCGGGGAGCCUCCGCUGCCACCUGGUGGACAGACGCAUGGCGGGCGACGAGACCCAUGGCAGGCGCCGAGAGUGGUGGCCCAGCUAGCCAGGUGGAUGGGCUGCCGGGGGCGGAGGGGUGGUGACAAGGGUGGGGCCGCCCAGGUUGGGGCGGCAGGCUCCUGCUUGCCCCUGAGUCUGGGUAGUCAGCAGGCGGCUCUCGGCACCGGCUCCAUGGGACCCGAACUCGCUGAGAUGCAUUCUCAGGAGGAGAGGAGUGCCAGCCUGCCAGGACCCAGCAGCGAAGAAAAGACGGUGCCUGGGAGAGGCCGCCUGGAACCUGCAGAGGGAACGUGGGGACUGCAGACUGCCUGGCCACUUUCACUCUGUGAGAACACUGCUUACUGUGAUGUUUAUUUUCAAAGGGCCCUAUGACAUCCUUUUUGAGAAAACGGAGAUAAAAUUUACAGAGCAUAAAAUCAGCCAUUUUAAAGUAUACAAUCCUGUCCACUUUAGUGGUGUUGAGUGCUGUCACACUAACAGCACCCACUAACUCUAGUCCUGAAGCACUUUGAUCACCCGGAGGGGGACCCCGUGCGCAUUAACCAUCAGGUCCCGCUGCUCCCUCCCCCGGCCCCGCCCUGUCUCUGUGGUCACCUCACAUCAGUGGAAUCAUGCGACGUGUGACCUUUGGUGCCUGGCAUCCUUCACUCAGUGUCUGAGGAGCAUCCAUGUUGUCACGCGGCCCGUGCUUCACUCCUCACGGCUCAGGAACAUUCCGACGUGGGGAGGACAUUUUGUACACCCAGUCAUUGGUGGGCGAUAGAAGGUUGUUACCACCUUUGGGUGGCCAUGGGGAGUGCGGCCAUGAACAGUCAUGGACAAGUUUUGGUGUGAACACCUGUUUUAAGUUUACUUUAGGAGUGGAGUUGCUGGGUCACAAGGUAGUUUUAUGUUCGGUUUUCUGAGGAACCACCAAGCUGUUUUCCUAGUGGCUGCGUCAUUUUGCGCUCUCAUCAGCAGUGCACAAGGAUUCCACUUCCUCCACAUCCUCACCAACCAUUGUUAUUUUCUAUAUAUUUUUUAAUUCUAGCCCCAUCUUAUUGGGUACAAUGUGGUACUCAUUGUGGUUUUGAUUUGAAUUUCCCCAAUCCCUAAGUGACUGUCUUUUCAUGUGAGUGACAUCAUUUUUAUUUUGUACUUAUUUA